CAAGUAGUGACUGGACUCUCUUUAAUGUCUGCAGAAUAGAAGAAUCAUGUUGGGUAGACACAGCAGAACUAGGGAUGUUGUUGUCAUAGUUACAUAUUUAUAACAAUGUCAACUUACUGGCUCACCCCAUCUAAUAACACAGGACUAUUGGUACGUGUAAACUUACAGCCUCAGGGCCUCCUUCCCUAGAGGACUGGCCUUCAGGGGCAGGGGACAGACUGAAAUACGAGGGAUAAACAGGGCAUUGGGGCUCCCACCAGAAGGUGUGUCCUUGUCCCCAAGAGUCCCAGGUUUUAGGAUGAAUGGGAACAC
rnacentral:lncRNA from 1 species